GUGUGAGGAGAGAGGGUUGAACAGAGCCUGUAAGAGCAAGUCACUGUGUAGAUGUGCUGCCUUGGAGUUAUCUUCUGUGGCUUCCUUCUGCACUUGGGAAAUCCUCUGAAGUUGUGUUUGUGUGCAGCAUGCCAAUGUUGGUCUUGCCUGCAGGAGCACCUUCACUGUAUGGCUGUUCCCAUUAAAGAUGCACAUGGCUACGGGUGUACCACAGGUACAGCGCUGCUUACAUCUGUCAUCUCUCCUUGUGUUUCCCAUUCUCCUCUGAGAGAUGCUUCCUCUGUCUCUGAGUUAGACGCAAUUGAGUGCACUGAAGAAAGAUGCAGGGAAAUCAGUGGUGCAGUCAGCAGCUGCAUCACGUCCUGGCAGGAAUGAUGGCUGCACUCUGCAUGUCUCGGAACAGGAGGUCUGAGCACCGCUCUCCUCCCUCAUCGCAUUCAUCACAGUGCUCAGUGCAUUAGAAGUACUGAAAAGUGCUGACUGCAAAAGUAAUGGAAAUCCCCAGCAGAGCAGAGCUGAAGAAGACGGUGACGUAAACAGUACAGGAAAUCUAUGAGGGGCUUUUGAAGUGAGGGGGAAAACGAUUUCUCUCUUCCAAAGAGGGAAAUGUUUCUGGAUAAUUUCCGCUGUCAUCUGGCACUCUCCAGCUCUAAACUAAACAUCAGGUUUGAAAACCAUCCCCCUUAAUUACUCCAUUAUAUUCCUUCUGUUUUCUUCACCAGCUCUGUUGAGCCAAUACCGUCUAUAUUAACACACUAAUAUUUAAGCCCAACUGUGGCUUGUGCUAUGGAAAGAAAAAGGACCGUAGGCAUUGGCAGCAGAUGAGCCCUGCCCUCGGGGACAGGUGGGUGAGAUAUGCAGGGUGGUGCCACUCCUCUAUCUUCACACCGCCUGUACUUCCUGAGGGCACCCCGUGUUCUCCCACUCGAGCUGAACAGAGCGGGUGCUGUGGGUACCCUCUUGGAGGAAGAAUCACCAGUGUGAUGGCUGCACGAGGCUCACCUCUUCAAGGCAUCUCUGCUGCUGGACAUGAGCCCUGUCCUGAGCUUCUGCAGAGGUACAGAAGACCUCUCUGCUGUGUUUCAAGAGAGAAGCUAUCUGAAAGAGCAAUGCAAAAAUAUAUGGGACUUAUAUUAGGAAAAUAUGGGGGG
ensembl:lncRNA